GCAAUGCCGCGUGUGUGAAGAAGGCCUUCGGGUUGUAAAGCACUUUUGUCCGGAAAGAAAUCCUUGGCUCUAAUACAGUCGGGGGAUGACGGUACCGGAAGAAUAAGCACCGGCUAACUACGUGCCAGCAGCCGCGGUAAUACGUAGGGUGCGAGCGUUAAUCGGAAUUACUGGGCGUAAAGCGUGCGCAGGCGGUUUGCUAAGACCGAUGUGAAAUCCCCGGGCUCAACCUGGGAACUGCAUUGGUGACUGGCAGGCUAGAGUAUGGCAGAGGGGGGUAGAAUUCCACGUGUAGCAGUGAAAUGCGUAGAGAUGUGGAGGAAUACCGAUGGCGAAGGCAGCCCCCUGGGCCAAUACUGACGCUCAUGCACGAAAGCGUGGGGAGCAAACAGGAUUAGAUACCCUGGUAGUCCACGCCCUAAACGAUGUCAACUAGUUGUUGGGGAUUCAUUUCCUUAGUAACGUAGCUAACGCGUGAAGUUGACCGCCUGGGGAGUACGGUCGCAAGAUUAAAACUCAAAGGAAUUGACGGGGACCCGCACAAGCGGUGGAUGAUGUGGAUUAAUUCGAUGCAACGCGAAAAACCUUACCUACCCUUGACAUGGUCGGAAUCCUGCUGAGAGG
rnacentral:rRNA from 1 species